AAAUUUGGUUUUGAGAUUAGGUAUGGAAUUGAGUUUAGAUCAGAAAUUUUUUUUUUAAUUCACAUAUGGUGAUGUGGGGACUAUUGUGGGUGUCACAUUAUCUAAAUAACUUUAUGUAUAAAAAAUUAUAAAAUUUGAAAAUUUAUUGUUAAGUAUUAAAUAUAUUUAAUAAUUAACAGUUAAAAAGAGAUCAUUUGUUGAUUUAUAAAAAAUCUGUCUAAAAUUUAGGAUUUUUAUAUAGAAAUUUUUUAAUUUAAGAUUUUAUCAUCAUAACUUAUCGUUUCUAAGAUGUUCUUGUAUCUAACGAAGGCAAUAAUUUCUACUUUGGCAUUCUUCUUUUCUUGGGGAUAAAUUAUAUUUUUGGUUCUCAAACUGAUUUGUAAUAUUUUGGUUCGUAAAUUUUAAUUCACUAUAAUUUCUUACUCGAAUUUUUUAAAUUAUUAUAAUUAAAUUUUAUAUUUCAACUUAUGCUAAAUAUUGUUGUGUUGCUGGCAUAAAAUUGAUAUAGCAACGUUGUGGUUGAUGAUGUAAUAAUAAUUAAGACGUUACAUCAUUUAUAUAUGGCUAAUUUGUAUAAAAAAUCUAUUAGUUUUGAGCUUUUACAAAAUAGACCGUCUUUUUGGAUUUUGCAGAUUCGGAACGAGUUUUCAGAAAAAUGACCAAACUACCUCUCUUUCAAAAUGUAUAAAAAUUACAUAUUUUAAAUGCCUAGAAAAAUACAACUGACAACUGUAAAGUCAUAAUAAUUACAUGUACCUUUUUCUUGAAACGAGAAUACUCAUUCAAGACAAAAUAAAAAAUGUAAUUAAUAAGAUGAAAAAGUGCAACAUUCUCUCAAAUAGUGUAACAUUCUUUUCAAAGUAGUAUAAUAUUUGUAUAACUACUACAACAUAUGUAUUGUUAAUACACUUUUUGCAUGAUUUUUACACUAAAUUACGUAUAGUAUAGUAUAUUACACAAAAAUAAUAUAACAUAUUACAACAUGCUAUAAAAAUUAUACAAUAUAUGUAUAAACGGUAUAUAUUUUAUACUAUUUGUACAGAUAUCUAUACCAUUUAUAUAAAUAUUGUGCUAUUAUGAGAUGAUGUUGCACUCUUUCUUUUUGAAAAUUAAAUUUUAUUGCAUAUUAAAUAAAAUUUCAAAUUUCUUGAAAAUGGCAACUACAAAAUCAUAAUUAUAUGUACCUUUUUCGUGAAAUAAAAAUUUUUAUUCAAGAAAAAAUAAAAAAAUAAAAUAUAAUUGAUAAGAUGAAAGAGUGCAAUAUGCUCUCAAAUAUGCAACAUGCUUUUCUAAAUAGUGCAAUAUAUGCAUUAUUAAUACAUAUUUUGCAUCAUUUUACACUAAAUAUGUAUAGUUUAGUAUAUUACGCAAAAAUAAUAUAAUAUAUUUAGCAUAUUAUAAAAAUAAUACAAUGUAUGUAUAAACGGUGAUAAUUUAUACUAUUUAUACAGAUAUUUAUACUAUUUGUGUAAAUAUUGUACUAUUAUGAGAUAAUAUUACACUAUUUAGAUGUGUGUUGCACUUUUUUUUUGAAAAUUAAAUUUCAUUGCACAUUAAAUAAAGUGUCAAUUUUUUGAAAAUGACAACUGUUAAGCCAUAAUUAUUUGUACCAUUUUCGUAGAACUAGAAUUCUCAUUCAAGACAAAAUAAAAAAAAUAAACUAUAAUUAAUAAAAUUAAAGAGUGCAAUAUCCUCUCAAAGAAUGAAACAUACUCUUCCAAAUAAUACAAUAUCUAUAUAAGUAGUGCAACAUAUAUAUUGUUAAUACACAUUUUGAAUAAUUUUUACCCUAAAUUACGAAUAAUAUAGUAUAUCACGUGAAAAUAAUAUAAUAUAUUACACUAUACUAUAAUAUUAUACAAUAUAUAUAUAAACGGUGCAUAUUUUACACUAUUUGUAUAAAUAUUUAUACAAUUUAUAUAAAUAUUGCAUUAUUAUGAGAGAAUGUUGCACCAUUAAAGUUUUCAAAUAUUACACCAUUAGGAAAAACAUGUUGCAGUAUUUAAGAGAAAAACAACAUUCUUUCAUCUUAUUAAUUAUCUUUUUUUUAUUUUGCCUUGAAUGAGAAUUCUCGCUUUAUAAGAAAGUUACAUAUAAUUAUGGCUUAGCAGUUGUCAUUUUCAAAAAAUUUGACACUUUAUUUAAUAUGUAAUAAAAUUUAAUUUUUUAAAAAAAUAGUGCAACACACAUCUAAAUGAUACAACAUUCUCUCAUAAUAAUGCAACGUUUAUACAAAUGGUGU
rnacentral:lncRNA from 1 species